GGCGAAACAUUUCAAUUGCAAUCCGCUUUCUUAGGGCUAAAACUCCAGAGCAAAGGGCUGCUGUUGAUUUGGAUAUCCACUACUCAAAGGUAGGCCGUACUUAUCAUCUUUGUAAAAUCCCCUGCAUCCUCCUUCCAUCCCUGUCAAAGAAGAUGUACUUAAUCUUUCUCCAUCCCGAAAGAAAUGAGGAUUUCAGGAGAACAAUCGGCAGUUCUGUGAUGGUAUGAAUUAAGGACUCCAAGUAAAUUCAACUGUGUUCUUAUGAUUGGAAACUUCUUUUGGGACAUGGAAGUGCAUUGGUGUUUUAGGCUUCCACAGACAAAAGUUUCAGAUAAUCUGUGUGUGUGUGUAUGUGUGUGCGUGUGUGUGUAGAGAGCAAUCCAAAGGGUAAAACCGUCGGUCUUUUUUUCUUUCUCUUAUGGAAGCAUUAUGUAUUAUGUGCAGGAAUAUCUCGAGGAAUAUGUUGGAUCUAGCACCCGGAGGGCAGUGCUCCACCAAGUAAGAUAUCUUGAAAAAUCUCAAGUUUCUUUGGUCUAGCAUUAUCAUAAUGGAGCAAACUCUACAUCAUCUUAGUGACUCUGUGUUUUUUAGAAACUUCCUGAGGGUUCUUAAAGGUUUAGCAAGUGUUUAUGUCUAUGAGUGUGUUCCAGGUUUAAAUGCACAACAAUGCUGUAUAAACAAGUGCCGAACUAUCAAUGAGUUUUCCUAUCCUUAGUAGGAUUUCCAGUGAUGCAUUUGCUUUGGUUUUCACAGUUAAACGGACCUACCCCUAAAUAACCAUGGUGAAAUAUGGUAUUUUACCUCGGCAACUUUUUUCACAUAUAAUUAUUCACAUUUGCUUUGAGUUCAUUGAAACUGGAUGAAUUUAAUAAGAGAUUACUUCACUAAUAAUUGCUACUUUGUGUCAAGUCAAUAAUUGGUUUUUGACUAAUUUAAUUUUAUAAUUGUAGUGUAACAUUGAUAACUUCACUAAGGACUAGAUCCUCUCACCUGCAGGAAUAUGUUAAAAGUAUUGCAACAACAGGACUGCAGUCCGACUAUGGCUUUCAGGGUCAGAUAAAUGCUUGCUGGAAUCAUAGAAUGACAAAAACAGAGAUAGAAUUAAUCCGUUCUGCCGGAUUUCCUGUAUCAAUCAUUCAUGGAAGGUAUACAACUAACCUUUAUGUAACUUUAUUGCAUUGGAAAAAAAUUAGCAAAUGAUAGUGGCAGCUCAACAGGAAAUUUGUAAAACAUUGGAUUAAAACAUUGCAGUAGGUUAAGGAAACAAAUUUGAUGGGACAAUGUUCUCAAUGUUGAUAUUUACCUCUCCUAGUCAAUCAAUAUGUAACUUGAUUAUGCCUCCCCCAGCAUUAUCCCCUUAGUGAUAGAGGGGCAUGAGCACCUUUGGGGGUUUUCCAACAUCAGCCAUUUGCUUUCAUCACAUUUUCACGAGGGCUAACCAAGAUAUAUAGGUGAUUUGACAGAAUCAGUUAUCACUGUCGAGAAGUAUUAGUUCCUGAUUUAGUGGAAUGGUUUGAGUGGUGUUCUCUCAACUCUAAAUUUCCUCAGAUAUUUACAAAUGCUUGUCGCAAACAGUGUCAUUCUACUUCAGAGAUGAUUAAGAUUUCUCUAUUAUAUUCAAUUGCAGUGUCAUUUGGUAGAAUGUUGGCGAUUUUACUGUAUGUUCACCUUGUAUGCAGGCAUGAUGUUGUUGCUCAAAUAUGUCACGCAAGAAAUCUGGCAGAGAAAUUAAAGCCUGUUGCUAGAAUGAUAGAGCUCGAUGGAGGGCACCUAGUGAGUCAUGAGAGGACAAAAGAGGUACUUUAUUUGGAACAAGAAUUGGAAAGCUAGUUACUUCCAAGUGCACUGGACAAGCAUGUGAAUUAGUUGGAUGAAAUUAUACUAGAUGGUUAUCUUAGUGCUUGUAGGUUUUGUGCUAAUUACUGAUGAAAUGGAUGAACUUUAAUUUAUUCAAUUUACUUGUUAUGUGUAUGAAUGAGAUCAAAUGGAAUUUGUAGAGUUUAUUCAGACUUGAGAGGUUAUUAGAUGUUGCUUUUGAACAUAUUAUUGCAGUCCAGAGUCUCUAGAAAACGAGGAAAUCACAUGAAACUGUUUUGGUAUUUUGGUCAUACAAGUUAAUUUAAUUGUCUGGGCUUGAUUGUUGAGCCGCAAAAGAUGGAUUGAAGCUACGCUUAUGUUCAGGUUAAUCAAGUUCUUCUCGAGCUCAUCAAGGUAUCGGAAAUGAAGGUUGUCCAGCAUGAUUGGACUGACUUGCCUAACAAAAGCUCUGGUGAGUAUUUCCAUGCUCAGAAUGAUUUCCUGGUCUCAUUUAUUCAUUCUCUGAUGCUUUUGUGGACGUUGGACGUGCGUGACAUCACAUGUGUAUAUAUAAAUGCGUGCAUAUACCAUACACACAUGUGACCUGCUUCAUGUAAAAGAUCAUAUGGGCCAAGCCUAACCCACAUUCAUUGGCAUUGAUCUUCUCUAAACAAAAAUGAGAAUUGCACUACAAUAUCUGUUAGGUUAAAUAUUUUAUUCAUUUCUGAAAGAACUGCAAGCGCUGAUGUCUACUGAUCCUUUUACAGGAUUGCCGGAGACAAGCAUGUCUAUUACAAGAACACAUGCAGAGGGAGAAUUACUUACGUGUCUUGUUAAUGGCGUUAUCGAAAGGCUAAAUUUUCUCCUGUGGCACUUUUUUGGUUGGUUAAUGAUGGGAUUUGAGUCUGGAAGAAAGGCAAUAGAAUUCCUAAAGCCCAUCAAGGUCCAAUCUGCCCUCACAUAUUCACUUAGCUAUUAAUGCGCAGGACCCUCUUUCUGCCUGGUAAUGUCAAUUCUGUCUCCAACUUAAGACCGGAUUUCUUCUUAAGACAUGCAGGCAUAGUAAAAUCUUUAGGUACUGGAAAAUGAAUAUUGACUGUUUUUUUGCUUCCUUUACAUUGCAGAGUUUCCUUCACCAGAGUAGAGUGGCUACUGUAACAUGGUCCUACUGAAAAUAGAAGAAUUUGACUAUGCAAUGAGACUGACAGAAUUGUCAAGCCCAUCCAGAGAGAAGCCAACUUUUAAGGCAGAUUUCUGUAGGAUAGGCAAAAAGGGAGACAAAUGUGAGAAUUGAACCCCUCCCUUUCAACACUGGAUUUGUAUUUCAUUGGAAACCUGUCCUCUUUUUUUUUUUUUUUUUUAAUUAUUAUUAUUAUUAUUUUUUUUUUAAUGUAAUCAACCGAUGCGGUUUCUUUAAUAUAUUCAAUGAAUUCUCUCUGUCUGUCUUGUGUGGAAACUGGAAAAUGCUUCCCCACUCGUGGAAGUGCUCCUAAUGACCAAGAGCUUGAGUUUAUUGCGUGCAUGACCAAUAACAAGAAAGUGCUUGAUCAUUCAUGGAAUUAACACUGACAAAAAGUAGAAAUUCCUAGUGAGUUCUCAAGUAAUCUAUAAAAAAGAAAACGCAUCGUUUACUAGGUUUCCGGGAAAAGAGCAGUGUUGACAUUCAGUUUCUUUUCCAUUGAUCGUUAAAAAUUGAAGUGACAAUGCUAUCUACCUGUCUCUACUUUUCUGGAUAAACGGAUGGUCCGGUGAUGGUCCAUUAUUAUUAAGAUCACAAGACAUGGGAGGUCCUAGAUCGAUGGAUGGCUAUCAUUCCCCACGCCUUAUUCCCCUAAGAACGUGGUGCCGACGCAUAUGAAUCCGUCUGAAGUUUUACUUCGUUUUUCAAGACCCAUGCAUUAAAACUCCCAUAAAUUUCAUACAGUCCCUCCUGUCCAUCUUAUUGCUAAUCUUCGAGGCCAUGCAUGCCACUACAAGCAAUAUCACCAGAAAACGAGACGUCUAACUUAUGAACAAAACACAACCGUGGGAGACAGGAGUUUCUGUAAAAAGAAACUUGGUAAAAUUUACACUACAUAGAGAGAGAGAGAGAGAGAGAGAGAGAGAGAGAGAGAGAGAGAGAGAGAGAGAGUUGCCUGGUUGAUGCCCUUUCUGGGAGGAGAGAACCUCUGUGAAGAGAUGUUGCAGUUGCAGGAGGAGGAGAAUGAAGAGAAGGGUAGAAGAAGG
rnacentral:lncRNA from 1 species